rnacentral:rRNA from 1 species
UACGUAGGGUGCGAGCGUUGUCCGGAAUUACUGGGCGUAAAGGGCUCGUAGGCGGCCAACUAAGUCAUACGUGAAAUCCCUCGGCUUAACCGAGGAACUGCCGUCCAAACUGCUUCGCUUGAGACCGGGAGAGGUGAGUGGAAUUCCCAGUGUAGCGGUGAAAUGCGUAGAUAUUGGGAGGAACACCAGUGGCGAAGGCGGCUCACUGGACCGGUACUGACGCUGAUGCGCGAAAGCCAGGGGAGCGAACGGG